CCCUUAGAUGUUCUGGGCCGCACGCGCGCUACACUGAUGCAUUCAACGAGUUUCUUCCUGGUCCGAGAGGAAUGGGUAACCUUUUGAAAAUGCAUCGUGAUAGGGAUAGACUAUUGCAAUUAUUGGUCUUCAACGAGGAAUUCCUAGUAGACGUAGUUCAUCAGACUGCAUCGAUUACGUCCCUGCCCUUUGUACACACCGCCCGUCGCUCCUACCGAUUGAAUGCUCAGGUGAGCCAUUCGGACUUUCAUCAUGCCGGUUUCCAGUUUUGAUGAAGGAAAGUCUUGCGAACCUUAUCAUUUAGAGGAAGGAGAAGUCGUAACA
rnacentral:rRNA from 1 species